CCUUAGGGCCUCAUCUGCAGCAUAGGGAGGUUCCCAAGCUAGGGGUCAAAUCAGAGCUGCAGCUUCCAGUCUACACCACAGUCACAGCAACGCAGGAUCCAAGCUGUGUCUGUGGCCUACACCACACCUCACGGCAAUGCCAGAUCCUUAACCUACUGAGUGAGGCCAGGGAUUGAACCUGCAACCUCAUGGAUACUAAUCAGGUUCACUACCACUGAGCCAUUGCAGAAACUCCCCAAAUUAUGUAAAUUCUAAUACUUUCCUCCCAUCCAUCGAUCCUAGAUUCCCUCUUGACAAGUCAUCAUACACAUUGACAUCAGUUGAAUCUUUCUGAAGUGCUAGGCUGUCAUUUUUCCAAAGGUUUUGUUGACUGUGCCUUCUAUUACACCUUGCACACAUAUCUCUCCACACCUUUGUGAUUCUGGCUGCUAUGCAAGGUCGAGUUUGCUAGUCUUCCUCUAUGUCCUGUUGCUUCACACUACUAUAAACUUUCUCAGGCGAACAAAGAUCUGUUUUGAAUUAAAUAUUUCCAAAACAGUAUGUUUAAUUUUUUUCCAGUCAUCUCAUUCCUGUCCCUGACCUGUUUAUUCCUCAGAAUUCUCUGCUUGGAUAAAUGACACAUCCUGCCCCCAGUUUCUCAGGGCUAGAAAAGUACAACUUUCAAAAAGGUAAAACCAUGACUCACAUGUAAAUGUAAAACAACGUAUGUCAAAGAUUUUGUACACACAGCAAUUAAUGAAGAAACCAGUAAGAUGUUAAAAUGAGAAACUGAAGAGUGAGGCAUUGAAAGUCAGUUUUAGAAAGUUGUGUUAGGAUAAGAUUGCUGGACUAGAUACAAAAUGGGUUAAUGUCCAAAGGGGUAAUAAACUAUAUUUUUUGAAUCACCUUUUUUACCAGGCAAAAUUUACCUGCAUCUCUACCAGAUAAUAAUCUAUAAAUUGACCUCUUCCCCAACAAAGUUAUACAAUAGCCAGGAAAACAAAAAAUCAAAGGUAAAACUGUACUGAAGAAACACCCAGGAAAGCCUGCCCAUUUUUAUGUUUCAGAAUAUUUUUCUGAUAUUCCUACCCCUUGAUCAUAAAUAAUCCCCACAGAUUGUUCUUUAAACAGAAAGUCUAGCCUCAUUAGGUUUGGCCUAAUUAUACACAGAGAUGCAAUGCAGCAAGAGUGCUAAUUAAACAGACAGGCCUUCUUGAGUUUGCUCUGCAAAUUCAAGGCCUUACAGUACUAAACAACUAUGAAGAACUGAGAAUUAACUACUGCCUGGACUUUUCAUUGAGGAUCUUGUAUGGGAUUAGUUUAGUUUUGUUUUGUUUUUUUAAUUGUAUGGUCACACCCACAGCAUAUGGAAGCUCCUGGGCUAGGGACUGAGCCCAAGCCACAGCUGGGAUCCACACUGUAUCCUUUAACCCACUGUGCCAGGCCAGGGAUCCAACCCACACUUCCGCAGUAACCUGAGCUGCUGCAGUUGGAUUCUUAAUCCACUGUGCCACAAUGGGAAACCUGGAUUAGAUUUUUUCAAACUUCAAUUACUUUUUAUGGUGAGUCUAGAAGACCAAAUGCAAGACACUUUCUCCAAUAGGUUUCACCUUUAAUAUCUAUGUAUCGGGGUGUAUGUGUAUAUAUACUCUCUUCCUGAAUUCCAACAUUUUCUCAGUUCUCUCAGCUGGCAGACCAUUCCAGUUGGGAGGCUGGCUCUAAUAAGCCAGUUCCAAAGCCAAGGUUCUUGGAAGGACUUUGUAGGCACUAAUCCACAUUAAAUAGUCUUGCAUACAGGCUUCCAAGGAAGUACUUGUUCUCUAAUAGUGGGUUCUUCAUGCCUGGUUAAAUGACAAACACUCUCAAUUGUGAUACUGGUUGCACGAUUGAUUUUUCCAAUUAUAUUCUGGUAAAAAAAGGUGGGGGGUGCAAGAUUUCUAUGAACCUAUCCAAAUAAUUAGGCUGUCAAGAAUCCUAAGGGACAAACACUCUCAAUUGUGAUACUUGUUACACAAUGGAUUUUUCCAAUUAUAUUCUGGUAAAAAAAUGGGGUUGGGCAAGAUUUCUAUGAAUCUAUCCAAAUAAUUAGGUUGUCAAGAAUCCCAAGGGACAAGUGAAAAUCACUCAUCAUUAAAAUGCCUCAUCUCAGCCUUAAUGUCUACCCCAAAAUGAGGAAGAAGGUGGUCUCCUCUCCCCACUUCUUUGAUAUAAAAAUGGAGCCCUCUUUGUUCUUGGGGCUGAACUCCUUUGCCUGCCCAUUUGUUUUUCUCACAAGUGCUCUAUAAUAUUAAACUCAUUCUUUGCCUAAAGAAAAAAAAAUUUCAUUUCAGUUUACCAAAGUAAAUUAAACUUAGACUUGGGUACAUCUCAAGAAAGAGAAAGGGCUUCCUCAUAUAACCAAAAAGAACAGAGUAUUCAAACAGUACCAACAAUAACCACAAAUAAAUUUCUCUCAGUUCAUUCAGUCCUCAGUGAUUAAGUCUUGCUCCACUGAAGAGAAGAAAGGCCUGGAAAUCCUGACUGUCCCUAGUAAAGUCUGAACAUUGUCUAACAGUGUCCACUUGGAAGCCUGCACUCAAGCCUGUCUACUGAAGUGAGGUAGUUCAGAGUGCUGUACAGUCCUUUCCACAGAUUCUGAAACUCUUCUGAAAUCCUAGCCUAUAGCUUAGAGCAGAGCCAUCAGUCAAGUACUGGAGAAAAGAACUCUAUUUCAUAAUGAGACUCGGCCUUUUCACUUGUGGUUGCCAAGGGGGAGGAGGAGCGGGAUGGACUGGGAGUCUGGGGUUAAUAGAUGCAAACUCUUGCAUUUGGAGUAGAUAAGCAAUGAGAUCCUGCUGUAGAGCACUGGGAACUAUAUCCAGUCACUUGUGAUAGAACAUGAUGGAGGAUAAUGUGAGAAAAAGAAUAUAUAUAUAUAUAUAUAUUUAUAUAUAUACAUAUACACCCCCCCACACACAUAUAUAUGUAUGACAGGGUCACUUUGCUGUACAGUAGAAAUUGACAGAACACUGUAAAUCAACUAUAAUGGAAAAAAUAAAAAUCAUUUUAAAAAUGCACUGACAGAUUUCCAGGGCCUUUUCAAAAUGUGUGUAACCUAUAAAAUAGGUAUAUAAGUCAAUAAUAUUUUGCUUUUACAAACUUAACCUAUUAAAGCUUUCCAGGGGCCCUUUGGAAAACUGCAAAGAUAAUUUUCAGUGUAAAAGAUAUCCUGAAUUUUUUUUUCUAAAUUUAGGAUCAAAUCCAGGGAAAGCAAAAUCAAGCUGUCAGAGGAGAUUUGCUUAAUUAAUUAAGAUAGGAGCAUGGGAGCAUGAGAAACAAUACCUGGUUACUUAUUUAAUCAAGGUGGUAAAGUAUAUGGAAACUUUGGUUCUUCAUAAAGAGAAACCAAACAUUGAUUCUUUACUGUUUAUUGAUUUUUUUUUGUUUUGCAUAUGUUUGUUUUAUUUUGUUUUUGUAAAUAACCAAGGACAUGUUAAGGUCAACACAAAUCUGAGAAAAUUAUUGCUGAGGUACAAAAUCUCUGACCUAUAGGAAAAUUACUCACAGCAAGUAAAGAAAACCUUUUCAUUCUUGGUUAAUUCUAAGAGAAAAUUAUUAUUUAAAUAGAGUGAAUUACUUUCCAGUUUUGUAUUAGUGCAGUCCUUGGCAGCGAAGUUUUCAUGGGAUCCUUCUAGUUCCUUAAACUGUCUUGUGAAUAACUCUAUCAACACUGAGCAAACUCUGCUAAAUAUUUAAUACAUUUCAUUAUUUCUUAUCAGAUUCAGAUAUUAUAAAGCAAGCCAAAUAAAAUUUACUUUCCUCAAUCACCCUACAACUUGCCAUACUCACUAUCUUUCACAAAUCUUCCUUUACUGGAACUAACUAAUAAUUUACUUUAGGAAAACACUAGUCUUACUUUUUUUCUUGAGAAGCAAAAGCACUUACACACUUGUGUUCCUUUGUCACCAUUGCUUUUAGUGAAGUUAGUUAUGACUUUUAGCAAAUGUUAUAACUUCUAUCUCAUAGAGAAAACUGGGUGGCAGGUACUGAGAGCUGUCUGUCAUACCCACCGUUUUAGCAGGGCAGCAAAGCUCAUAAACAUACAUCGCACGAUUUUCAGUAGCCGCAUUCAUCCCCAUUAUAUCUUUCAGAAGUGGAAAAAAAUGAACACAUUCAUUGAUGUGAGACACACAUUAAGAACCAAAAAUAUAAAAAAUUUAAAUUACCUUUAGCAUUAUUUUAUUAUUCUAUCUUACAUAAAAAUUGUUAUCCAAAAUAUUAUUUAUUAAUUCAAUUAAUAUUAAUCCAAGUUUUAAAAUUAUCUCAAGCCUUGAAAUCACGUUUAAGCUGCCACUCUGCAAAAUAUAAUUACUAUUACAAAAUCAAUGGUCUAAAUUAUUGUUAAAUAUAUUUGAAAAUAUUUUAUAAUCUCAAACACUAUGUAGGAGUAAUGUAUGCAUAUACUAUGCUUAAAACUGAAAAAUCAGAGAAAAGCUGUAUAACGGUUUUCUUAAGGUAAAAUUACUAAGUCAAUCUAAUGUAUUCAACUAUUCACCUUAAUUUGUGAACUUGUAGUCUUAACUAUUUUUAUUUAGUAGUUUCUGUAUGAAGGCUAUUUUAAGUCUAGCACAGUAUUAGAAGAUCAGCUUUCAGGUGUGUGAAUUUGGGGAAUAUUGACUCUAUACAACUGCUUUAUUUACCUCUAUAACCAUUAAGGAAAAACAUCUAUAAAUUUCAUAACAAUCUAAUGAACUAUACCUGGAAAGGGUAGGAAAAUACAUUAUAAUCACAUGAUAAGUGGAUUUUUCCUGAAUUACAGACACAGAUACAUAGAGUUCUACAACUUCAGUUCUACCUUUUACAUUCAGUUCUACAGCUUUAGACACAGAUCAAAAUAAUCAGAAAAACAAACAAAAAACCUCAUUAGUGCUGAUCUCAAAGAAUUUCUUUGAGUGCACAGAUUAAAAAAAAAAAAAACAGUAAUACCAAAACAAAAAACUAAGAUCUUGGACUCUCUGUCACCACUCACAGAACAGAAAAUAGGUCAGAGCAUAAAUCCAAAUUGCCAAUCAUCACCACCAAUAAGCUUAUUUGUGGCAAGGCACCUAUGCAUUUCAUUUCUAUAUCCCAUCUAGAAUCUUAGGUGAACUUCUCCCAUGAAAUAAGCAGCCAAAAUAUUUGUUGAAUUAAUUGCAAAGCACAGGAUGCCUGAAAAGUAAGAGCAUAUAAUGGCCAGUUAAAUUUAGAAACAUAGGUUUUAAAAGUUUUAUCUUUUAGUAGCUAUUUCAUUUUCUAAGAGCCAAUUACUGAAGCACUGGCUCUGUAAUCAGAAAUUAAAGUUGACACAGGCAUAAAGCCAAAGGACAACAGGGGUAAUAAGAAAGAAUCAACAGAUCUUUCACUUUGUUUAAUUAUUGAAAAUGAGCUGAUAACCCUUAAAUUUACCUAGAAAUUAGAUGCUCUGCAGACACAUUUCAGCAGAAAAGCAAAACUAAAGAGCACAAACACCUUCCAAUAAUGAGCUCUUUCUACUGAAGAGGGUGGGUGUCCUGAGACCUCUAUCAAGUCUUCAUCAGUUUAUUUCCAAGUACUAAUCAAACAAAACUAGUCUUGGUAUGAGUUCUAGAAAAUAAUAUUGAUGCAUGUUUACUUUUAGCCUAUAAAUAUAGUGGAAUUCAUGAACACGCACUAUACUUCGGGAGGAUUUUCAAAGCAAAGGUUGUAUCCAGAAACUUCCUAAAGCUUUUAUGUUUUCCAAAGUAUCCAAAUUUUCAAUUGAAUAAUUUAGUUCAAUUAAUACUUAUUUUUAUUCAUGUGUAGUAAUGAAUUAUUCAACUUACUAAUACCCUCUGAGAUUCUAUAAUUUUUCAAAUUACAACCAAUGCGGAUUGUCUGCAGUAGAUUAUUAAGAGGUAAAAUCAUAUAUGUACACACAUAUAUAUUAUACACAUUUUACCUUUCUUGGGCAUUGUUUUGGUUAACAGAAUAGAUGAUAAGGAAAAGGUGCUGUGUUGGGAAAAUACACGUUUCUACCCUAAAACUACUAGCUAGGUUUUACUGAAUGAUCAUAUAUCUUCAAUAAGCUUCACAUUCAUAAAAAGGCCCUCAGAAGAGAAACAAUUAUUUUAGUAAAAUUUAAAAGAAACUAUCAAACAAAAAUACAGUUUUUAUACCACACAGCUAAAAGUUGACAUUGAAAAUGACACUCCAGACUGACAAAUUAGAUUCAGC
rnacentral:lncRNA from 1 species